GACAUCAUCACGUUUGAGAUGGGCCUGGAGAGAAAGAGAGAGGACUUUGACAGAAUAAAAAGGAGGAUGAGAACCUGUGUGGCUAAGGGAACAAUAUGUGUCCCAUGUCUGGGGCUGGGGGGGCAGAAGAGCUUGGCUUCAAGGAGGGUUAGGGGACAAAGCAGUGAGUCUGGAAAUAGGACUUAGGAAAAAAGGUUGGGAGGCUUUAAAAAGGGUAUGACAGAGUAUUAGCUCCAUCUUGCUGCUGUAACAAAUUACUGCUUAAAGCAGAAUUUAUUAUCUUAUUGCUUUGUAGAUAAAGAAAUCUAAAAUUAAGAGUUGGUAGGACUGUGCUUCUUCUAGAGGCUCUGGAGGAGAAUGUGUCACCAAAUUGCCUAGUUUCAUGUCUUCCAGAGGCUACCUACAUUCCUUGGCUUGUGGUCCUGCUAUGGUUUGGAAGUGGUUUGGUCCCCUCCUUGAAUCACUCCAACCUCUUGCUUCCAUUGUCACGUCUCCUAUAAUUCACUUGGAUCCUCCUGCCUCCCUUUUGUAAGGAUCCUUUGAUCCCCUUGAGUCUCCCUGGAUAAUCAGCAGUCAUCUCCCCAUCUCAAGAUUCUAAAUCUUAUCUGUGAAUUUCCCCCUUUUAUGGACGAGAACAUAUUCCUAAGUUCUAGAGACAGGAUAUAAACAUCUUUAAGGGAUCAUUACCUCUGACAUUUGCAUUAAACAACCAAUGAAAGAGGAGCUACUAGAGUAAGGCACUGAGUUAAGAGCCCAGUGGAUAGUCCAGAUGAAGAGUGAUCUGGUCAUGGACAGUGGGUAUGGGGAGGGCUAGGGGGUUGGCUGCAGCUUGGAGAAGCUGGUAGAGUCUUUCUCAAGGCCUUGUUCUGAACCUUUGCAUACCUAACAAGCUCUCAGGUGACAUCCACGUUGCUGGUUCCUCAACAGCUCAGCAUCCCAAGGCCCUGGGGAAUAGUAUUCCAUGAAUGUCAAGAAAGAACCCAAGAGGCAGAGCCCACAGAUCUGAGAAAUCAGAAUAGUCCUAAGAGAAGAAGGUGUCCUGAAGUCCCUAGAGGAGAAUGUGAUCACAUGGGAAAAGAAUAAUAUUGAAAACCUCCCAGAUUUGGCCAUUAAAUCACUGGUGUCCUUCGUGAGAGCAUUUUGGUGGAGUUUGGGAACGCCAAGUGGGUACCAACUUUCUCUACCUUUAUCUGAAAAUGUGGGACCAGGUUAGCAGAGAUGGGCAGAGGCCUAGGGGACCUUCCCUCUUUCCUCUGGCAGCAGCUGUGGUGUGUAAUGGGCACUCAGAGCCACGUGGUCUCAGUUUAUUGGCUUGCUCUGCUCUGGGGUGCUGACAUCUCCAUGGCAUGAGCUUAUUUUGGGACACACGAGAUAUUCAUUUGUAAAGAUAUACAAUAGCAGAGAGCCUGACAUAAUAGGUCUCGUAAAAAUUGUACAACUGCAGCAGCAGUUCCAAGAGGCCCAGCCCAGUUGACAGAAGGAGGGGCACCCUAGGGUCAAGGCUGGUGUCCAAGGGCUAACUCAGUCCAUUCUUCCCUGGGUCUCCAUCAUGCAUAGCCAUUUCCUUUUGGGGUUACAGUUUUUAUUAUCUCUGUACCCUUGCCCCCAAGGGUUAAAGAUAGAUUGUUUUCUUCGAAGUGCAUAUGACAUAAAAUUAUGGGAUUAUAAUUUAGUAGUAAAUGCCAUGCCUCUAAGAGCACAUUAGCUAUUGUUGACUUGUCCUGAUUUUUUUUUCUACUUGGAUGUCCCAUCUCUUUGGACAGUUAUCUAGCUUCUUCUCUUCUGUAUUAUGACUCCACUUACUGUGACCUCACCAAGCAGAAAGAAGAUGUCCACUGCAUCAUGUUCAAAAUUGAGGUCUGCUUCUCCCAGUCACAAAGGAAGCCUUUUGCCAUCUGGUCCCAGAGGUGGGUGUCUCACGGGUCCUGGAUCAGCAUCUCCUCUCACAUCACCUACAUUCCCUUCCAAACCUGUGAUGAAGGCAGAAAAAAAAUCCAAAACCACAUGAAGAAUUUGUUCUGGUCAUUGCUGUGGAAACCUUCUUGGUGACUUCAGUGGGAAGUUCUUUGGAGCAGGCAAUUCCACACACAUCUGAAUCAAGCGUGUUCUGUCGGAGCCACUGGGAUGUAAAGAUUUUGCCAUUUCAUUCUAUACAUGGAGGUUGGGUAAGAAGACAGUGAGGAGUCCUUGUGCAGUGGCUGUAAGGAAAGGACCCUCCCAAAUUUCCUUGAACUUCGGGUUUCUACUUGCAGCUUUCUUAACACACUGCGUAUAGCCAUGUUGUACAGAAAAAUGGCACAAUCUCUUGUGGGAAGAAGCCCCAGGUAUAUAGGCAUUAGAGAGGCAUCUACAUUACUGUAACUUAAUCUUACACAUAAUCCAAUCUGCCUGGAUAGAUGCUUCUUUUGCCUAUCACCCAGGACAAAUCAUACCAACAGAGGACACCCAAGAUGCUCAUACAUUCUGCAUAAAAAUACAUCUGUAUAUAUUUUUUACUUUUCCCUAUUCAAUUUUCUUUGAGCAUUGGAGUUUGUUUAUUUGUUUUAUAUUUCAGCAGCUAGGGACCAAGAUAUUUCUCUUCUGUUUGUUUCUCUAACUCUUUUUACAGUUUAACAAGUCAAAUAAAAAACUCAGGGGAGUUAAUAAGCCUCGUGAUGGUAUUGUGCAUAGUAUCACAUUAUCGAUUGGAUAUACUGCAUUGGAAUGCUGUAGAAAAGCCCCAAACCAAAAAAAAAAAAAAAAAAUCUCAGAUGCCUGAAGCUUUGAGCUUUCCAAUUAGGCUGAAAAAGUUCCCCUGAUAACCAGUAGUACCAAAGCUUUUAAUAUUGUUUAGCUCUACCCGUUAUUAGCAACGUUUUCUAGUUAUGAAGGGCAGUGGAUCACUGGAUAUCAGUGAGGUAGAGCAUCUAACGCACGCGCACUUUCUGAUCGAACAUCCUAUCUGGAAAAAAAAAAAACCCUUCAGUUUAACAUAAACUGAUCAUAAUUGGAAGCAAAUGCUUCUUUCCCUUCUUCAAUGCUAUCUCCUCCUGUGCAGCCUAUUUUGCAUCCAAAGAUACAUUUGAAAGUCGAAAUCCCUUAGAGCGAAAUAUUCUAAACUGACAGAAGAAUUUCUAGUGGCACACCCGCCUGGAGCCAUGUUUUUAUGAGGACAUCACUUUCUAUUUCUAAGCUCCAGCAUGCACUCUUGCUUUCUUAUUGCUGGAAGCCAUGCCACAUCAGCUUGCCUCCCUCUCCGCUUUUAAUGUUUUUUUAAUGGAGUCCAGUUUUCCGCCUAAGUUAUGGUUAGUUUUCUGACAAACCAUCAGACACCUAAGUAACCAUAAUGGAGGUGUCCAGAUGUGACAUGGGAGAAGCAAUGGCAAACUUUCAUGCCUUUGAACGCCACCGUAUUAUGAUCAUUCGGUUUUUAACCUGUCCUCCGGGUUUGCCAUAAAGGUGCAUGGGGGCUUAAAAAAAAACAUUUAAAAAAAUUAAUGUAUGAUAUGAAGUCUUUUCUUGUAAGCCACAAGCUAAAGUGAUCAUUUCUAAAUCUGACUGGCAAGCAAAGUCUACUGCCUCUACAGUGAAAGAGUAGUUCUGAUGCAUGUGCUUCUUGAGCAUGGAAUUGCUCACAGAACAAUGAACUUAGUUGUCUAAGGAAACGUACUUUGCAGGUCACCUGGUUGAUCAGAAAAUAAUAGUAAAUUCAAAUGAAUGGUAAAUUAUUGAAGAUGCAAAUUCAUCCUAAAUAUUUCCAGGAUAAAGGAAGAACUAUAUGCUCUUGAAGGGCAGCGAUUUACACAGCUUUAUCUAAUGCAGUCUGGAAAAUAUUUGUAGAAUGUUUGGUAAUUAAAUAUGCUCUCAGCUGAGCAAUAGUGCCUGGGGUGGUCUGAGUGGUAAAGAAAGGUGAGUGUUCUUGCUCUGCUGGGAUUUGAAGAUUUCUGCCUGGAAUCAUAGACGUUGUCUGUGACACUGAGUGUGGAGUUAACGAUCUGUACCAUACUUGGAGUUAAGUGAGUCCUGCAUAAGAAAUGAGCAAAAUUCAUCUUCCUGGAUUCUCAACUACUGGUUUUUUGCUUGGACUUUAGGUUUUACCUCCAUGUCUUUGCUUCACAGAAAGGCCUUUCCAUGCCUAGAAGUCCCCUCUGUCUUAAGUUCCUUCAUGUUUACAUCACCAAUCUCUGUCUCAGAUGAGUUGUUUGCUGGUUUAUUAAAUAUCUUCAUCUAGUGAAAAAAUAAACUCCCUGAGAUGGGA